UGCCAGCCGCCGCGGUAAUACGGAGGGAGCUAGCGUUAAUCGGAAUUACUGGGCGUAAAGCGCACGUAGGCGGUGUGGUAUGUUGGAUGUGAAAGCCCCGAGCUCAACUUGGGAAUUGCAUUCAAAACUGCCACACUUGAGUAGAGUAGAGGGUAGUAGAAUUUCCGGUGUAGCGGUGAAAUGCGUAGAUAUCGGAAGGAACACCGGUGGCGAAGGCGGCUGCCUGGCCUGAUACUGACACUGAGGCACGAAAGCGUGGGUAGCAAACAGGAUUAGAUA
rnacentral:rRNA from 1 species